AUAUUGGACACUGUUCUCCCCCCUGCUCCCUCCCUUCCGCGUGUGUGAAGAAGGCCUGCGGGUUGUAAAGCACUUUCGGUUGGGAGGACUGCUUCUAGCACUAAUAUUGUUGGAAGUUGACGUUACCUUCAGAAGAAGCACCGGCUAACUCCGUGCCAGCAGCCGCGGUAAUACGGAGGGUGCGAAGCGUUAAUCGGAAUUACUGGGCGUAAAGCGCGCGUAGGCGGCUAGAUCAGUCGGGUGUGAAAGCCCCGGGCUUAACCUGGGAACUGCAUCCGAUACUGUCUAGCUUGAGUACAGGAGAGGAGAGUGGAAUUCCACAUGUAGCGGUGAAAUGCGUAGAUAUGUGGAGGAACACCAAUGGCGAAGGCAGCUCUCUGGCCUGAUACUGACGCUGAGGUGCGAAAGCGUGGGGAGCAAACAGGAUUAGAUACCCCGGUAGUC
rnacentral:rRNA from 1 species